rnacentral:rRNA from 1 species
ACGGAAGGUCCGGGCGUUAUCCGGAUUCAUUGGGUUUAAAGGGAGCGUAGGCCGCGCGUCAAGCGUGCCGUGAAAUGCCGUGGCUCAACCAUGGCACCGCGGCGCGAACUGUCGCGCUUGAGUGGGCCCGAGGCAGGCGGAAUUCGUGGUGUAGCGGUGAAAUGCUUAGAUAUCACGAGGAACCCCGAUUGCGAAGGCAGCCUGCCAGCGCCGCACUGACGCUGAAGCUCGAAGGCGUGGGUAUCGAACAG